UUAAAUGACAGAACUUGAUUAUUAUUUAUGAAUGCUUCCAGCUCUUGAGACUUGGUGUCCUAAUGAUGAGUUGCUAGUUGAGGGAAGGUUCACAGAAAUCUCAUUAAUUUGUCUGCUACUUCUGCUCUUCUGGCUUUCAGAGUUAUGCCUGCACAAGGGGACGGUGAAGCUCAGAGUGGUCCCAGAAAAGAAGUGAAGAGUACCUCUGGCUGACUCUAAGCAAAAUGAGCAAACAAGCAAGCAAUAGAACCCUAUGAUGUUCUCCAAGCAGAGGCUUAGAACUAAAUUUUGAACUUUUUUUUUUAUGCAUGGAAUGGCUGCUAUCUUCUUCAUGAAUACAAUGGCCAUAAUUCUUUGUCAGGACGGUUGAGGCACUUGAUCUGGACUUGCCAUUUGAGUUUGAGACACAUCCUAUUUUCCCUAGGUCUUAAAGGACCUGAGAACAGGUGGGAAUUGAGGGAUGUCAAAUGCUGGAUUGUGGUAAAAAAAUGGACAUUCACAAGUGAAGAUGGAAGUAACUUGAUCCCUUCAACCGUAUAAAUUGCCUCUGGAAAGGAAAGGUUAAGACUGGAGUCACACGCUUUAGUGGGAGAGCAGUAUGCAGGAAGCUGGUUUUCAGGCCACAAAUGCUUUCACAGAGUGCAAAUUUACCUGCACCAGUGGCAAAUGCUUGUAUCAUGCCUCACUGCUUUGUAAUGAACAGAAUGAUUGUGGGGAUAAUAGCGAUGAAGAAAACUGCUUACUUGUAACUGAACAUCCACCUCCAAGCAUCUUCAGCUGUGAGUACUUGCCAAUAUGCCAGUUAUACAAUUUGCUGUGAAUUUUGUUAUAUUUUGUUAUUGUUGGUGUUGUCAGGGGAUACUAGAAUGGAAGUAGAAACUUG